rnacentral:rRNA from 1 species
GCGGCCCCAAGUCAGGCGAGGCCCACCCGCCGAG